GGACUCCACAAAGUUCACCUCCAUAUUGAAUCUCUGUCAAAGAUGGAAGAGGGGAAAAGUCCCUAAAGAUUAUAAGCAGACAGUCUCUCCUAAUAUAGCAGUCUCUCUUUUAUUCAAAGGGCUACCUCCACCCUUCUUGAAUGUUCCUGUUGUCUGAGAUGCCGGAGGUCUAGGAGUUUGGCAGAUGGGGAGCGGGAGGGAUGCUUUGUGAAUGAAAAGAUCAAAUUCCUGAGAUCCAGUUUUGGGCAAACUAAUUCAUCCUGGCCUGGGCUGUGCAGCCCUGCACCAUUCCUUCUACUCCAUUCCAUUACAUUGAGCCACUCUUGCAGUUCUCCCUGGGUGGAGCCUCAAGCAGCUGUCAUGGUUUAUACAAAACUCUCAUUAAAGAAAAAACAACAAGCGGUGAGUGUCCUGUUUGCUGAAAUCCAGAAAGUGUCUGCACUAAGAGAGUGGAGCCACCUGCCUCAGAGGUUUGCCCAGGCCAAUCCCAGCCAUCCAGGAGGAACAGACAUGGAGCCAUAGGGAGAACCUGUCAUUUUCUUAGAGCAAUUUGCAGGUCUGCAAUAUUGCUGUAAGUAACUAUUCACUGUCCUUUCAGUCAAAAUCCAUACAGAACAAAGGAAUAUACUCUUUUAGUAUGCAAUGUCUUGAAAAUAAAAAUCCAACUUACAGCACAGACGAGA